rnacentral:rRNA from 1 species
GAUGAACGCUGGCGGCGUGCCUAAUACAUGCAAGUCGAGCGAACAGACGAGGAGCUUGCUCCUCUGACGUUAGCGGCGGACGGGUGAGUAACACGCGGAUAACCUACCUAUAAGACUGGGAUAACUUCGGGAAACCGGAGCUAAUACCGGAUAAUAUAUUGAACCGCAUGGUUCAAUAGUGAAAGACGGUUUUGCUGUCACUUAUAGAUGGAUCCGCGCCGCAUUAGCUAGUUGGUAAGGUAACGGCUUACCAAGGCAACGAUGCGUAGCCGACCUGAGAGGGUGAUCGGCCACACUGGAACUGAGACACGGUCCAGACUCCUGCGGGAGGCAGCAGUAGGGAAUCUUCCGCAAUGGGCGAAAGCCUGACGGAGCAACGCCGCGUGAGUGAUGAAGGUCUUCGGAUCGUAAAACUCUGUUAUUAGGGAAGAACAAAUGUGUAAGUAACUAUGCACGUCUUGACGGUACCUAAUCAGAAAGCCACGGCUAACUACGUG